CAAUAGCGUAUAUUUAAGUUGUUGCAGUUAAAAAGCUCGUAAUUGGAUUUCGGAUGGGCUUGACCGGUCCGCCGUUUGGUGUGCACUGGUCGUGCCUAUCUUGCUGCCGGGGACGCGCUCCUGGCCUUAAUUGGCUGGGACGCGGAGUCGGCGAUGUUACUUUGAAAAAAUUAGAGUGUUCAAAGCAGGCCUAAGCUCUGAAUACAUUAGCAUGGAAUAACGCUAUAGGACUCUGGUCUUAUUGCGUUGGUCUUCGAGACCGGAGUAAUGAUUAAGAGGGACAGUUGGGGGCAUUCGUAUUUCAUUGUCAGAGGUGAAAUUCUUGGAUUUAUGAAAGACGAACUUCUGCGAAAGCAUUUGCCAAGGAUGUUUUCAUUAA
rnacentral:rRNA from 1 species